ACUUGCAGAUUUUCUAAAGGGCUUUAUUUUGGUUUUAAAAGGAAGGGGAAGCAAAGCAGGAUCAGGCCAGGUUAGUACAUGGAUGGGAGACCACCUAGGAAGACCAGGUGCUGUAGGUG
ensembl:rRNA 5S_rRNA 5S ribosomal RNA